AUGGCUGUGAGAAUCCUCUCAUUGAUAUCAAGUUCUUCAGUCUGUGAAAGGAACUGGAGUACCUUCGAAAAUAUUCAUAAGAAGAAAAGAAAUAGGCUAACUACAGAACGUCUAAACUCUCUUGUGUUCAUACAAUUCAACUCGAGAAUGAUAGCCAAGAAACAAAUGAUCAAGGAGAAGAAGAUCACUGAUGUCCUCUUAUCCACUAAAACUGCUGAAGCUCAAGGUUUUCUUUUUGAGGGCGGAGAUGAUUAUGCAGAAGUCAUCUAUAUGGAUAAAGAUGAGGAGGAGAUGAAUAGUACAGGGAUGACAGGGAGUGGCGUUGGAGAAGCAAUGGGAGGCGAUGAACUGCUCGAGCCACAUAGAAGUGCGAGACCAAGACAACUUUAUUAA
rnacentral:rRNA from 1 species